rnacentral:rRNA from 1 species
UACGUAGGGUGCAAGCGUUGUCCGGAAUUAUUGGGCGUAAAGAGCUCGUAGGCGGUUUGUCGCGUCGAAUGUGAAAACCUGAGGCUCAACCUCGGGCUUGCAGUGGGUACGGGCAGACUAGAGUGCGGUAGGGGUGACUGGAAUUCCUGGUGUAGCGGUGGAAUGCGCAGAUAUCAGGAGGAACACCGAUGGCGAAGGCAGGUCACUGGGCCGCAACUGACGCUGAGGAGCGAAAGCAUGGGGAGCGAACAGG